rnacentral:lncRNA from 1 species
CAUCAAGAGCGGCCGCUCACCACUGCUGCACGCAGUGGAGCGCGGCAGCCUCGACAUGGCCCAGCUCCUCAUCCAGCGGGGGUCGCAGGUGAACGCGCAGUCAUACGCGGGGUGCAUGGCGCUGCACGUGGUGGCGGAGGGCUCCGGGGUGGUUUUGAGGGGCUCCGGGGCAGUUUCGGGUGCAUUUCGGUGCGUUGCUCUCCCUGCAGCGGGGGGCGCAGGUGAACACGCAGUCGUACGCGGGGUGCACGGCGCUGCACGCGGUGGCGGGGGGGCUCGGGGCGGUUUCUCGGGUCCCCAGGGCGGCUCGGGGGGCUGUUUGGGGUGCAUUUCGGGUGCAUUUCGGUGUGUCCCCCUGCCCGCAGCGGGGGGCGCGGGUGAACGCGCAGUCGUACGCGGGGUGCACGGCGCUGCAUGCAGUGGCGGAGGGCUCGGGGCGGUUUCUCAGGUCCCCGGGGAGGCUCGGUGGGCGGUUUUGGGUGCAUUUCGGGUGCAUUUCGGUGUGUCCCCCUGCCUGCAGUGGGGGGCGCGGGUGAACGUGCAGUCAUACGCGGGGUGCACGGCGCUGCACGUGGUGGCGGAGGGCUCCGGGGUGGUUUUGAGGGGCUCCGGGGCAGUUUCGGGUGCAUUUCGGUGCGUUGCUCUCCCCGCAGCGGGGGGGCGCAGGUGAACGCGCAGUCGUACGUGGGGUGCACGGCGCUGCACACGGUGGCGGGGGGCUCGGGGCGGUUUCUCGGGUCCCCAGGGCGGCUCGGGGGGCUGUUUGGGGUGCAUUUCGGGUGCAUUUCGGUGUGUCCCCCUGCCUGCAGCGGGGGGCGCGGGUGAACGCGCAGUCGUACGCGGGGUGCACGGCGCUGCAUGCGGCGGCGGGCCGGGGGCUCCUGGGGCUGCUGCGGCUCCUGGUGCGCAGCGGCGCCGACUGCGGCGUCAAGAACUACCACAACGACACAGCGCUCGCCGUCGCCAAGAACCGGCAGGUCUGCACUGCGCGGGGGGGUCUAUGGGGGGGUCUCUACUGCGGGAGGGCUUUCUAUGGGGGGU